AACAUAACAUAGAUUAUAGAAGAUCAUCGUGCAAAGUGCUAUCCCAUUCCGUGUUUGUUAUCUUUCUUUAUCAACCAACUGUAUCAACAUCCACUGAAACAAAGAUUGUACACAGAGUAAAACUGAACCUUUGUGUUUUGCUCUGCUUUCGAAAGCAGAAAAUGAAGACACACAGUCGAGAAAUUUCGGAAGCUGAUUCAGAUUGUAAAAGAUCAUGCCUCUGUGGCAUCGUUCCGGCGGUUUCUAUAGUUUGUGUUGUUUUGCUUUUCUCGAGUUCAUUCUUUGCUCAACGCUACAACCAGGUAUAUAAACCGGUGAAAUAGUUUUUCUGCAUGGAGUUGUUUCAGAAUUGUUAUUCAUUUUCCAUGGGAGCUGGUUGACCUGGUUUCACCAUGAAUGCAAAUUUGGGUUGAAUUCAUGGAUCCUUAUACGGUUGUCUGUGGAUCAAAUAGCCAAUUGGUUUUGACUUUGACUUUAACUAUA